AUACGUAGGGGGCGAGCGUUGUCCGGAAUGAUUGGGCGUAAAGGGCGCGUAGGCGGCUUUGCAAGUCAGUAGUGGAAGUCCAUUUUUCAAGGAUGGAAGUGCUACAGAAACUGCGGAGCUUGAGUGCAGGAGAGGUUAUCGGAAUUCCCGGUGUAGCGGUGAAAUGCGUAGAGAUCGGGAGGAACACCAGUGGCGAAGGCGGGUAACUGGACUGCAACUGACGCUGAGGCGCGAAAGUGUGGGGAGCAAACAGGAUUAGAUACCCUGGUAGUCCACGCUGUAAACGAUGAAUACUAGGUGUGGGGGGACUGACCCCCUCCGUGCCGCAGUUAACACAAUAAGUAUUCCACCUGGGGAGUACGAUCGCAAGAUUGAAACUCAAAUGAAUUGGCGGGG
rnacentral:rRNA from 1 species